UUUAAAUAUUUUAAAAAAAAUCAUACAAAUAUUAUCAACUCAAUUAGAAUGAGUAAUCAUGCAAACUUGUCGCCGUUUCGGAUUAAAUCGAGGAGUUCAUAUACAAUUUGAUUACAGGCUGGACGCCAAGCAGAGGUCUUGAAUCAAAUUGUAUAUGAACUCCCUGCUGAACAUCCUCUGACUGAGAGCAGACCGCUGCGCGAACUUCUUGGGCACACCCCUCCUCAGGAAUUAGACUUCAAAUAUGGUGAGACAGAUAUAAUCGCUAGUGUUGAGGAGAGGGAGCCCGAGAAACGGUUAUCAUAUCCAAAAAAAGCAACAGGCACGCAAAUUACUCAAUCCUGACACGGGAAGGUAGUGACAAUAAAUAACAAUGCAGGGCUCUUCAAGUCUGGUAAUUGGAAUGAAUACAAUCUAAAUCCCUUAACGAGAAUCCAUUGUGAAUAAUGAGUUAGUUUACGAUCAACUCAACUGUUUUAUCCGGUUAGAAUGAAUAAUAGAUAA